UGAAGAGGAGAUGCCCGCGUCUGCAGGCGAUUUGCUGCAAGAUCUCUCACAACUGCACGAGCGAGCUCAGCAAGUGAUGCAGGGCAUUGCUCAUGCCUUGUGGCCAUCAAGCUUCCUGCCGAAGGGUGACACGUCUCCGUCGUAUCUACUUUUCCAAACACUUUUUCCCUUGUUUUGGACUCUAACUUGUAUGAUUUGAGUGGAACUAACCCGGACUGACGCUGUUUUCAGCAGAAUUGCCAUGGUGUUGUUUUAUGUGCAGAAAACAAAAGUUCUCGAAAUGACCUGAAACUCCACGGAACACCUUAGAAAAAAAAGAAAAAAUCCUCGCCAAAGAUGAAGACAAGGGGGCCCACACCCUGCUCACGAGGGUGGGGGGCGCGCCCUCCCCCCUGGGCGCGCCGCCUUACCUCGUGGGCCCCCUGGUGGCCCUCCGACGCCAACUCCAACUCCAUAUAUAUGGCUUUCGGGAAAAAAAUCAGAGAAAAAGUUUCAUCAUGUUUUACGAUAUGGAGCCGCCGCCAAGCCCUAAUCUCUCUUGGGAGGGCUGAUCUGGAGUCCGUUCGGGGCUCCAGAGAGGGGGAUUCAUCGCCGUCGUCAUCAUCAACCAUCCUCCAUCACCAAUUUCAUGAUGCUCACCGCCGUGCGUGAGUAAUUCCAUCGUAGGUUUGCUGGACGGUGAUGGGUUGGAUGACAUUUAUCAUGUAAUCGAGUUAGUUUUGUUAGGGUUUGAUCCCUAGUAUCCAUUAUGUUCUGAGAUUGAUGUUGCUAUGACUUUGCUAUGCUUAAUGCUUGUCACUAGGGCCCGAGUGCCAUGAUUUCAGAUCUGAACCUAUUAUGUUUUCAUUAAUAUAUGUGUGUGCUUGAUCCUAUCUUGCAAGUCUAUAGUCACCUACUAUGUGUUAUGAUUCGGCAACCCCGAAGUAACAAUAAUCGGGACCACUCCCGGUGAUGACCAUAGUUUGAGGAGUUCAUGUAUUCACUAUGUGCUAAUGCUUUGUUCCGGUUCUCUAUUAAAAGGAGGCCUUAAUAUCCCUUAGUUUUCAAUAGGACCCCGCUGCCACGGGAGGGUAGGACAAAAGAUGUCAUGCAAGUUCUUUUCCAUAAGCACGUAUGACUAUAUACGGAAUACAUGUCUGCAUUACAUUGAUGAACUGGAGCUAGUUCUGUGUCACCCUAUGUUAUAACUGUUACAUGGCGAACCGCAUCCGGCAUAAUUAUCCAUCACUAAUCCGGUGCCUAUGAGUUUUCCAUAUACUGGUUUACGCUUAUUUACUUUUCCGUUGCUACUGUUACAAUGUAGGACCUUGAAGUAUGUCUAGAGGGGGGUGAUUAGACUACUUGACCAAUUAAAACUUAACCUUUUCCCAAUUUUAGAGUUUGGCAGAUUUUAGCUAUCUUAGGACAAGUCAAGCAAUCAUCACACAAUUCAAGCAACCAUGCAAAGAGUAUAUGAGCAGCGGAAAUUAAAGCAUGCAACUUGCAAGAAAGUAAAGGGAAGGGUUUGGAGGAUUCAAAAGCAAUUGGAGACACGGAUGUUUUUGGCGUGGUUCCAAUAGGUGGUGCUAUCGUACAUCCACGUUGAUGGAGACUUCAACCCACGAAGGGUAACGGCUGCGCGAGUCCACGGAGGGCUCCACCCACGAAGAAGCAACCUUGUCUAUCCCACCAUGGCCGUCGCCAACGAAGGACUUGCCUCACUAGCGGUAGAUCUUCACGAAGUAGGCGAUCUCCUUGCCCUUACAAACUCCUUGGUUCAACUCCACAAUCUUGUUGGAGGCUCCCAAGUGACACCUAGCCAAUCUAGGAGACACCACUCUCCAAGAAGUAACAAAUGGAGCAUUGAUGAUGAACUCCUUGAUCUUGUGCUUCAAAUGAUAGUCUCCCCAACAGUCAACUCUCUCUCAUAGGUUUUGGAUCUGGUGGAAAGAAGAUUUGAGUGGAAAGCAACUUGGGGAAGGCUAGAGAUCAAGAUUCAUAUGGUAGGAAUGGAAUAUCUUGGCCUCAACACAUGAGUAGGUGGUCCUCUCUCAGAAAUGGUAAGUUGGAAGUGUAGGUAUAGUCUGAUGGCUCUCUCCACGAAUGAAGAGGAGGUGGCGGGGUAUAUAUAGCCUCCACACAAAAUCUAACCGUUACACACAAUUUACCAAACUCGGUGGGACAGAUUCAACAGACUCGGUGAUACCGAUUUAGUAAACCUGGUGACCGUUAGUGAUUUGCGGUGGGACUGACAUGCAACUCGAUGAGACUGAUUCGGUUAGGGUUAGGGCAUAACGUAAUCUCGGUAAGACCGAUUACACAAACUCGGUGAGACCAAUUUUGGUAAUAAGCUUUCCAGAGAGUUGGUCAGGUAAACUCGAUGGGACCGAUUUGCUCUUUUCGGUGAGACCGAAAUGUUACAAAAGGGAAACAAAGAGUUUACAUUGCAAUCUCGGUGGGACCGAUCGCUCACUUUGGUUAGACCAAAAAGUUACGAAGGGAAACAAAGAGAUUACAAUCCCAAAAUCCAAGGGUGGGCCGGCCCACCGUGGGCACCCUAUAGAGAUACACAGCCGAGCGGCGAACAUGCAUUUUCGAAACUAAUUUAGGAACAUUUAGCUGACCAAUUAAACAACUCUGUUUUAAUAAUAUCAGAUUCGUAUUUGAACAACUAAGCUUGUUUAGCUUGGUGGGUGGAGCAGUGUUAUUAUGACACGAAGCACGUAUUCUGAUCGUAUAGUGAUCAUAAAAGGGAGAAACUCUAAGCAUAUUUUUUAAGCAAAAGAGGGUUUUCCCUCCGAUUUCUAUUAAAGAAACCACCACGGAACCAACAUGAUACAUUAAACCCUAAGAAUGAUCAAUUAAACUGUAUUAUGACUGUGCCAUGGCAGAUUUGAAGCUGCAGACCGGAGAAAUGAUAUUUAGCAUCCAUUGUUUGCUUCGAACUUAUAACUAAAUUCUAAGAGCUGAAAAGAAAGUAGAGUAACCAAGUUAAGAUCUAUUUUCUGGUUGAGAUCAAAAAGUUGAGGAGAUAUGAAGUACCACCUCUCUUGCGGUGCCGUGUAGGCAUCAGGUGUGCGAUGGCUGUCGGUGGCGUUGAAGCAGAUAUGCGACGGUAGACGGGUGCAUCGGAGGAUAAGUCCCGUUGCGGUGGAAGAGAAGGUCGGGUGAGCGGCCCCGGCAAAGAGGACGACGGCGCCGAUGAAGCGAGAGGACGCGAUGCAAGGCUAUUGGUCCGUCGCCGUGGAUGAGAAACGUCCAUCUCUAGUAGUGGACGACGCGGUCUUGGUAGGCGCUCUGGCAUGGUUGAGGACGGUGGCGAUGGAUGUGGUGGAGGACGGCGGCGAUGGAUGGGGUGGCGGACGGAGGCUGGUGUGGGCAUGGUGAUCUAGCAUGGACGGUCUAUGAAUGGGAAAAUGGAGGGAGAGGUACGGGUGUCGGUGUCAAAACCUGCGGAUCUCGGGUAGGGGGUCCCGAUCUGUUCGUCUUAGGCUAAUGGUAACAGGAGGCAAGGGACACAAUGUUUACCCAGGUUUGGGCCCUCUCGAUGGAGGUAAAACCCUACUUCCUGCUUGAUUGAUAUUGAUGAUAUGGGUGUUACAAGAGUUGAUCUACCACGAGAUCGUAGAGGCUAAACCCUAGAAGCUAGCCUAUGAUGAUUACGAAUGUGAUCAUUCCUCUAAGGACUAAACCCUCCGGUUUAUAUAGACACCGGAGAGGGCUAGGGUUUACAUGGAGUCGGUUACAAAGAAGGAAAUAUAAUAUCCGGAUAGCCAAGUUUGUCUUCCACGCAAAGGAGAAUCCCAUCCGGACACGGGACGGAGUCUUGAGUCUUGUAUCUUCACGCUCCAACAGUCUGGCCAAAGUAUAUAGUUUGGCUGUCCGGAUAACCCCUAAUCCAGGACUCCCUCAGUAGCCCCUGAACCAGGCUUCAAUGACGAUGAGUCCGGUGCGCAGUUUUAUCUUCGGCAUUACAAGGCGGGUUCCAUCUCCGAAUACUCCAAAGUACCAUCUCCACGUGUCGAGCGAAUACGAGGAGCCGAGGCAUUUUUGCAUUUGCCACCUCCGGUCUAGCAGGCUGACCGUCUAUUUGAAGAGACGGGGAUUCUCAGAUCCAAACCUCACCCUCUUCCCUCGAGCAAGCAUCGAACAGAGUGCUCCGAAAAAACCAUUCCAACAUGGUCGGUCACCGCAGCUCUUCUUCUCGCUCCCCUCUUUCCAAGACGAGUGACUGGGAAGAGUGUUCAGUUCCUCACAGCCAUUUGAUAGAGUUACAGACCCAAGGGUUUCUCCCACCGGCGUUCAUGGUCCCCAUCCGAGCUGGACUAGCCACCUAUAAUGGCGGGGAGCAAGCGGAGGGAUCUCCUAAUCCAUCUCCAGAGGAGCGAAUAUGUCUCAUCCCGCAUCUGCUAAGGGGCGUCGGGUUUCCUAUCCACCCAUUUCUUCGCGGGCUCUUGGAGUUCUACGGCCUCUAGUUGCACAGCUUCACCCCUGCCUCCGUGCUGCAUAUAGCAGGAUACAUUGCCCUUUGUGGGCCAUUUCUAGGCUGUGAGGCUCACUUUGGGUUAUGGAAGAAGUUGUUCUGCCUUGUCCCUCGCAACCAAGGGGAAUCCCUAUGUCAAGUGGGCAGAGCCGAAGUAUGGCGCAUCGCCGAGAUCGGAUACCUAUCCGAUACUCCCAAGAAGGCACCGAAGAACUGGCCUGUGGAGUGGUUUUAUGUCGAUGACGUUCCCCUUCCGGAUCCAGUCCGGACAGGUCUCGCUAAGUUUAGUAAUGCUCCGCCGAAGCCACGUCGAAGCUGGCGCCCUCGGGGCCCCUAAGAGGAGGAUACCAGAGAAAUACACUUCCUGAUGAGCAGGAUAAAGUUACUGGCCAAAUCCGGGCUGAGGAUAGUCGAGGUUAUGGCAAUAUGCAUAAUGCAGGGAGUGCAGCUGCUUCAAUAUCGGGGGAAGCCCAUGUGGCACUACAAUGGGGAAGAUGAUGCCACCUGCUGUGGUCAUAAGGGUCCGGACUCUGCCACUGCUCUAGCGAGGAUAUUGUCCGAUCUAUAUAAAGGAGAAGAAGAAGAAUUCCUUCACAUUAAACCGCGGGAUGGGUUUUCUAUGUAGACCCCCCCAAGCUGGGUAAUUCGUCACUCUUUCCCCCGCUUCACUCAUUCUAGAGUUCUUCGUCCAGAUUAUUUACCUCGAUAUUCUCGAGCAGGAAAUGAGGAGGGCCGUAGAAGGAAUCUCCAGCCCCUCCCCGCAGCCAGAGGACCCCGGAAGGUCCUUCGAUCCAGGACUCAAAGAAGAUCCGGAUAUUACUGUGGAGCUUGUCAACGGGAUAUUUUAUCAGGUGAGCUGCGAUGGCGCCUUAGUGGCUAUUAUCGCUGACUAUCCCGGACUGCUACCCACAUCGCGUGUAAGCCAAGCGAAAAAACCCUAUCCUCCAAAGAGGACUCCUUUCUGAUGCCAUUCCUUACACCUGAAGUGUCGUAUUUUUGUAGAGACGACGGUCAGAGCGCGGCGCCGAGCCCCAGGGGACUCGUCGGCAAAGGGUGUCCGGAUCGGGCAGGCUUAACAGGAAGGCAAUUAGGGCCAAAACGCCGCUACAGAGGUAUGGUAAAAACCUGCUCUGUCAUUAUUGUGUUUGAAAUGUAACAGCGUCCUUUGUGUCCUGGCGGAAAGAGGAAUAGCUGGACUAUAUCUAGAGAUCCUGCCAAUCACGCCUCCACCAGCCGGAUUACAAAACCGGCUUCGAGAGAGGAGGCGGACGCGGGGCCGAUGCCGCAUUGUCCUCUGACAGAGGAUGCAGAUAUGCUCUCUGCCACGAAUUCCGAAGUAGAGAGCGCCAUGAAUCACCGACGCCGACAUGCCGUACUUCACAACAACAUCUUUUCCGAAGAGGCAUUUAAUGCUUUCAAUUCGGGAGACGCAUACAUCCGAGCUGCUCAAGGUGGGCUUGCCCGAGCGACGGACCAGUAUGCCAAAGAUAUACGGGUCAGAGAAUUUGAUAAACAUGUAUAGCAGUAGCCCCUGAGACUUGAAACGGUUGGAACAACUGUUUUAAGGAUCAAUUUAUGCACAGGUCCUUGUAGAUAAGAAUGCCCAAUUGUCUCGAGAGCUGGAGGAGUGCAAGACCAAGCUGCGGACCAUGGUUGCCAAGUUAGAGGAAUCCCAGAAGGCCUCAUCUGGUAAUAUUUGUCUCAAUUGUACAGAAAUGUACCAGUUAGUAAGUGGCUUGUAUGAUAAGUCUAACAGAAAAUUCUGCAGAUAAUCCCGGGGUGAAUCGGGAGGUCGUGAGAGAUAACGAGUCGCAUAUCCAACGGCAGCUAAAAGCUGGCGAGCAUGUUCUUAUGCAAGUUAGGCAGGAGAAGAACAAUCUGCAAGAUGCCAAUGUCCAGCUGGGCAUUGAAUUAAAAGAUAUUCACGCUCAGCUGGCGGACUCCGUGAAGGAGAUCAAAAGGCUUUGUCGCCGCAUUUAUGGUAAGUGCCUAGACGAACUGUAGUAUAGCUCAGCAUGGAAGCAUAUUGAAAGAAUUAUUAUUUGUAGGUAUGUUGAUGGGCCGCCCUGAAGAGGAGAUGCCCGCGUCUGCAGGCGAUUUGCUGCAAGAUCUCUCACAACUGCACGCGCGAGCUCAGCAAGUGAUGCAGGGCAUUGCUCAGGCCUUGUGGCCAUCAAGCUUCCUGCCGAAGGGUGAUACGUCUCUGUCGUAUCUACUUUUCCAAACACUUUUCCCCUUGUUUUGGACUCUAACUUGUAUGAUUUGAAUGGAACUAACCCGGACUCACGCUGUUUUCAGCAGAAUUGCCAUGGUGUUGUUUUAUGUCCAGAAAACAAAAGUUCUCGAAAUGACCUGAAACUCCACGGAACACCUUAGAAAAAAAA
rnacentral:lncRNA from 1 species